UUUGCCUACGGGACGCAGCAGUUGGGAAUAUUGGACAAUGGAGGAAACUCUGAUCCAGUGACGCCGCGUGAAGGAAGAAGGUCUUCGGAUUGUAAACUUAUUUUAUCAGGGAAGAAAAAAAUGACUGUACCUGAAGAAGAAGCACCGGCUAACUACGUGCCAGCAGCCGCGGUAAUACGUAGGGUGCAAGCGUUAUCCGGAUUUACUGGGUGUAAAGGGCGAGUAGACGGCGUUGCAAGUCAGAUGUGACAGGCUAGGGCUCAACCUUAGGAGAGCAUCUGAAACUGUAAUGCUAGAUGGCAGGG
rnacentral:rRNA from 1 species